rnacentral:rRNA from 1 species
UACAGAGGUCUCAAGCGUUGUUCGGAUUCAUUGGGCGUAAAGGGUGCGUAGGUGGCGCCGUAAGUCAGGUGUGAAAUUUCGGAGCUUAACUCCGAAACUGCAUUCGAUACUGCCGUGCUUGAGGACUGGAGAGGAGACUGGAAUUUACGGUGUAGCGGUGAAAUGCGUAGAUAUCGUAAGGAAGACCAGUGGCGAAGGCGGGUCUCUGGGCCGAUACUGACGCUGAGGAGCGAAAGCGUGGGGAGCGAACAGG